rnacentral:misc_RNA from 1 species
GUGUAAAUGAGCUGCGUAUGAAAAGAAAAAUAGGCAUAUAUAAGAGGAGAACAAACAGAGAGAGCUAAUACAAAACUGAUGCCAUCAUCCCCAGCAAUCAAACCGAUAGGGUGGGGAAAUACAUCAUAUGAUCAUUGUAUCAUUCUCCAACAACAAUGAGUUACUUCAAAAUGAUUACAGUCAUAAACCAAUCAAUACAUCUAUUUAGAAGAAGAAAUAAAAUUAAACGACAUAUAAGAAAAAUUUGUAGAAGAAGAAGAAGAAGAAGAA